GAUGAACGCUGGCGGCGUGCUUAACACAUGCAAGUCGAACGGAAAGGCUCCUGCUUGCAGGGGUACUCGAGUGGCGAACGGGUGAGUAACACGUGGGUGAUCUGCCCUGCACUUCGGGAUAAGCCUGGGAAACUGGGUCUAAUACCGGAUAGGACGAUGGUUUGGAUGCCAUUGUGGAAAGUUUUUUCGGUGUGGGAUGAGCUCGCGGCCUAUCAGCUCGUUGGUGGGGUAAUGGCCUACCAAGGCGUCGACGGGUAGCCGGCCUGAGAGGGUGUACGGCCACAUUGGGACUGAGAUACGGACCAGACUCCUACGGGAGGCAGCAGUGGGGAAUAUUGCACAAUGGGCGCAAGCCUGAUGCAGCGACGCCGCGUGGGGGAUGACGGCCUUCGGGUUGUAAACUCCUUUCGCUAGGGACGAAGCGCAAGUGACGGUACCUGGAGAAGAAGCACCGGCUAACUACGUG
rnacentral:rRNA from 1 species